GCUCAGGACGAACGCUGGCGGCGUGCCUAAUACAUGCAAGUCGAGCGAGCGGAACCAACAGAUUUACUUCGGUAAUGACGUUGGGAAAGCGAGCGGCGGAUGGGUGAGUAACACGUGGGGAACCUGCCCCUAAGUCUGGGAUACCAUUUGGAAACAGGUGCUAAUACCGGAUAAUAAAGCAGAUCGCAUGAUCAGCUUUUGAAAGGCGGCGUAAGCUGUCGCUAAGGGAUGGCCCCGCGGUGCAUUAGCUAGUUGGUAAGGUAACGGCUUACCAAGGCGACGAUGCAUAGCCGAGUUGAGAGACUGAUCGGCCACAUUGGGACUGAGACACGGCCCAAACUCCUACGGGAGGCAGCAGUAGGGAAUCUUCCACAAUGGACGCAAGUCUGAUGGAGCAACGCCGCGUGAGUGAAGAAGGUUUUCGGAUCGUAAAGCUCUGUUGUUGGUGAAGAAGGAUAGAGGUAGUAACUGGCCUUUAUUUGACGGUAAUCAACCAGAAAGUCACGGCUAACUACGUGCCAGCAGCCGCGGUAAUACGUAGGUGGCAAGCGUUGUCCGGAUUUAUUGGGCGUAAAGCGAGCGCAGGCGGAAAAAUAAGUCUAAUGUGAAAGCCCUCGGCUUAACCGAGGAAUUGCAUCGGAAACUGUUUUUCUUGAGUGCAGAAGAGGAGAGUGGAACUCCAUGUGUAGCGGUGGAAUGCGUAGAUAUAUGGAAGAACACCAGUGGCGAAGGCGGCUCUCUGGUCUGCAACUGACGCUGAGGCUCGAAAGCAUGGGUAGCGAACAGGAUUAGAUACCCUGGUAGUCCAUGCCGUAAACGAUGAGUGCUAAGUGUUGGGAGGUUUCCGCCUCUCAGUGCUGCAGCUAACGCAUUAAGCACUCCGCCUGGGGAGUACGACCGCAAGGUUGAAACUCAAAGGAAUUGACGGGGGCCCGCACAAGCGGUGGAGCAUGUGGUUUAAUUCGACGCAACGCGAAGAACCUUACCAGGUCUUGACAUCUAGUGCAAUCUGUAGAGAUACGGAGUUCCCUUCGGGGACGCUAAGACAGGUGGUGCAUGGCUGUCGUCAGCUCGUGUCGUGAGAUGUUGGGUUAAGUCCCGCAACGAGCGCAACCCUUGUUAUUAGUUGCCAGCAUUAAGUUGGGCACUCUAAUGAGACUGCCGGUGACAAACCGGAGGAAGGUGGGGAUGACGUCAAGUCAUCAUGCCCCUUAUGACCUGGGCUACACACGUGCUACAAU
rnacentral:rRNA from 1 species